rnacentral:lncRNA from 1 species
GAUAUGUAGAGGACUAUUGGUGACAAGUUCAUCCUUAAUGUGAUUUGUUUGUGAUGUGAUGCAUUUCAUGAAAGCAUGAACUUUUAAUAUAAUGUUUUAUUAUUCUGCUCACUAGGCUCUAGUAGCUCACCCCACUCCCUUAACCCCAGGUUUGCAGGUACGGGCUAGUCCAGGAGGUCAGCAAGAUUAGAAGUGUUAUGUAAUAGCUAGUGGUGGACAUGAUGAAU